CACAGUGGUUCUACAGAUCUGUGUUUUCGCAGAGAGAAGACCUGCAGAGCUUUCAAAUCGCAAAACUGCAUUUAAGCGUUUAAAUAUUUCAUGAAGCAGCACCCUUAAAGCCAGAUUCCUUUUAAUUGCGAAUUGAGAAAUAGGUUUUACCAAAAUCGAAGCAUUUUCCAUCCUUAACGUGCUGCCGGGGGGGGGGGGGGAGGGGGGGUUGGGUUCUAAAAGGGGCACAGGUGUACUGCUGAGGACAGGGUGCCGGCGCUGCCGAAAUGCUGUCCAUGCAAGCACUAUUAAGGCUCCAGAAACAGCCAGAGAUAGAAACUGAGUAUUUUGUAGCCUCCUAAGGGCUUUUGACUGAAGUGUGCGAGGCAUAACUGCGUGUGGACAGUCAUCUCUUGCACUUGACCGGCUGCUUGUGUACGUAUCGGAGCAAAAUUACCCAAUGAAUAACAUGGAGACUGGAGAAGAAACCGGGCUGCCAACAUGGCCUCGUGAACUGUGUUAGUAUGUCCAGCUCACAGGGGAAGACCGCUUCGAAAUAAUAAUGGAUGGAAAAAAUGUUUUUGAAGUGUGCCUGGCUUAGAAUGCAUUUCAUGGUCAGUGGAAAAAAAUGAGGAAGAGGAGGGUGUGGCUGCAGAGAAUUUGGCUGUGCAGGCAGGGACUGGCUUUUGGGGUUGUGAUCCUUCAGCCUCGCAGAAGGAAGACUUCUCUUAGUGAAAUCAGAAGAAAAGUAGUGCUGGAGCAGAGCACUUGAACUUUGAGAACUGGAGUUGUCAGUCACUGCUGAAGGUACAGGAACAGCGGAUGGAAACGUGCGUUGCUCUUCUGAAGCUGAAUCCUCAGGCAUUCGUGGCCCGUCUCUGCAGCCCGAUGUGUUUUUUGUGCGUGUGUGUAAGCGCUCUCAAUCAAACAGAAAUCAUGGCAGCUGUUUUUCUUCCAGCACAGCAGUUGAGCUGUCUCGCCCAAAUGCUUAUCAGCUUUUGACUCCGUGCCAAGAUAGUUAUAAGGGCCAAGCAGCCUGCGCUUGGCUGUGCAGCUGGUGGAGGAGCGAGGGCAUGAGAAAACAGAAUCACCCAGCUUUUUUUGUCACACACACCAUUUACUUUUUUUUUUUUUCCAAUCCCCGUUUUUAGCGCCGUGGGUCUUCCGAGCAGCUUUUUCGCGGUGUCUCCGCAGCGCUUUCCUACAGGGCCGCAUCUAGACGGGAGUCCGACGCUCCUUGUUUUAAUCCCGGAAGAUAUUUCCGCAGGACCUUCCUUUCCUUUCCCUCCCACUCCCCCCCUCCCGCCCCCAAUUAAAAGCUCCAUUAGCCGGCCCCGCUGUCUCUCCUCACGGCUGCUCUGUCCUCCGCGGCCCGCACGAUCCCGGGCCCUCGCUGCGGUGCGCUGUGCGCGGCCGUUCGGCAGUGCCGCGCCGUGCCGUGCCGCCCUCCUAUCGCCCAGCCCCGGCCCUGCGCCGCGCCAGCGCGGCCUCCUCCGCCUCUCGGCUGCAGUCGCUGCGAGGGGGAGGCCGGACUCUGGAACGACGCUGCUGCCGCCGCUCGCAUUCCUGCUGCAAGGGCCUCCCCUUCAGACGGCCUUUGCCAGAGCAGAACUUUUUAAAAUGCUGUGCAUAGGCGCUGCUGCUUUUUCCCCUCUUCGUCUCUCUCUCUCUCUCUAUUUAACCCUCCUUUCACUGCUGAAGAACGGAUUAAUUUUCCGUCUUUCCUGCGCUUGGCUCGGCCGUACUGUAUCUCGUUGCAUUGAGGUUAAAACUCCGAGUAUUUUCCCCUCCGCUGAUCCUUUUCUCUCUCUCCCUCUCCUCUCUCUUUUUCCUCGGUUAAGGGGAAUUGAUUUCUUUGGCCGAGCGAUGAAUCGGGCUUCGCUAGUUUGUAUGCUGUGAGAACGAGGGCUUUUAUUUGUCACAUCCCCCCCGCCCACCCACUACCGGCACACCGCGCAGCUCACGGAACGGCCGGUCGCUCUGCCUGCCUCUGUACUGCAGCUCUGUUUCGGCGGCCGUAGGUGUCCGUGCCUCACGGAGCGGGGCUCCGCUCCCCCCGAGCGCCCCCUCCCCCCCCCCCCCCCUCAGCCCACGAGCCCCCCGCGAUGGCCGACACGGGGGUGUGCGGAGAGCGGGGGGCCCGUCUGCUCCCCGCGGCGGAGGGGAGAGAGAUGUGCAGCAAAACGCUGCCUCUGGGACAGGUGCCAGCUCCCAGACAAAAGGAGUGGAAUAGGCUGUAAAGAGGGAGUGGGGGAAAUUAAUAGCCGGCAAAAAAUAGGAGCCGCGAGCCUCGGGAGGAGCCCUGGCGGGAGCGCGCUGCCUCGCCGGCCUCUUCGCCGGGUAUUCCCGGGCUGCAGGGCGGAAGGAGAAAGUUGUGGCAUACUUUUUAUUCCUGUCUUCUCUUCAGACGUUGGAAAGCGUGAAGGGAGGAUGGAGGGCGCCUCUUUUUUUUUUCUUUUUUUUUUUUUUCCACCCUCCUCUUACUGAAUUAUUCAUAGUGUCAGCGGUGAAGCCAGGACUAUUAGCAUGCAUCAGACAUGCUGUUUGUCUGUUUGCUAACAUUCUUCAUUCAAGACUUGUUAACUACCAGACAAGCUUAACAUGCUUCUCUUUCUCCUCCCCUUCUCUCUCCCUCUCUCUCCCUCCCCUCUCCCUUCCCUUCCCCUCCAUGCCACCCCUCGCAGCCUCCCAUUGUUGUCGCUGGGAGCUGGCAGCAGCUGUGGCAGGGGGAGCGUGCGGAGGAGCCGCCAGCCGCCCGCUAGAAAGAAGCUCAAGAAAAGAAACCGACAAAGUUGGGCGGUGCAAGUUUUUAUAUCUAUUUAAUAUUUCGACGUGUCCCAGGCGUUAUUAGACAUCGGCGUGCAGAGCAGUCACGAUGCGCCUGGGAGCGAGUCCAUGGGGUUUUGUGCCAUUUGUACGCCUGGGCAACACCAUACCCGUCCUGAACUCAUAUUUUUGAGUGUCUCAGCCUGGAUGUAGCCCAGAUGUGUGAAAUACACAGCAGCAGAAUUUGAGUUUUCAAGUGAAAUAGCUUUUCUUUGUCUGAAUCAUUCUUCAAAAUGCAAGAUUAGAAGUUUCCUACCACGUCAUCUUCAAGACUCACAGAAAAUUCUCCUGCAACUUGUGGCUGCCUGGAAAAAGAUGAUGAUGUAGUCUGGCAAAAUGAACUCAAGAAACAAGAAGAAGAUGCUAGAGACUGAUCUGCAAGUCGUUCAGAGUACUCACAGCCAUCUAAGGAGCUGAGGAUAAAGCUGGCUCUUUCCUGACUUCCACUGGAGAAAAGUGAAAAGGCAACAUCUGAAGAAGGCACUGUCAAUUCCCAAUGAUCCCAGGAGAACUGAAUUAGAUCCUGGAAUCUGAGCAAGCCAGAGGUGAGGCUGUCAUGAGGGUGAAACUCAUUUGAGUGCCCAGAGGUUCACUGAUAAGAUGCAAACCAGAAUCUGCCUAUUGGUAGUCUUUCCAGAUAUGAUUCAGAGCUAAUAAGAGAGACUGAGAAGUACCAUGACUCCAAACAGAAUCAUUUUGCUGUGCAGAAUGGCGCAAGAUGAACUAGCACAUUUCAGAAUAAGUUACAUAGAGAACAAAGUAUUAUGUCACUGGACAAGUAGAAGAAGAGGUGCUGAUCUCUGACCACAAAAGAAAAAUAAAGAAUUGCUAAGACUUUGAGAAAAAUAAGCCUGAAUGUUUUAGUUCUAAGAGAAAUGACCUAGGGGGAGCCAAGUUACAAGAUGAACUAAUGAAGUUAGAAGAGGAAAGAAGUGAAAAUUGGUCAUCUAUGCAAAGAAAAUGACAAGGCUUUGUCUCCCGUGGAUCCUGGCCUCACCCCAUUUUCCCCCUGGGAUCUGCUGAAUGUCAUUUCUGCCCUCAGGAGCUGGGAAGCACUGCUCAGGCUGAGAUCCUGCUGCUGCUGCUCCCACAGAUGUCCCUGUCACGCCUGGCAGCCGGCUUAGGCUGGGCAGAAAGCCCACCAGGGCCAGCACAGCAAAUCAGCUGAUUACGGGUGCCCCCUGGGGACCAAUCUGAUGGAAUAAUAACAACGGAAAGAGAAAGCUGGUGCUGUGAAUGGGCCUCUGAGAAAAUGUACAGAGAAGCUGCUGUCUGCUUUUUCACUGGCUGUCACUCACCUUAUAAUUGUUUCAAUGUGCACUGAAAUGAAGUUGAAACAUGCGUGUUUUCUCUUUCUGCAUCCCGAUUUUGAUUGUGCUAAGAGCAGUGGAAGAUCCCAUCAGUUGCCCUGAAACAUGACCUACCUACUUUGGGGUGAGAUCUGCUUUGUUGUAAAGGAUGGCUCUAGUUUUUCUGUGUGUAUCAUGUAUUCUUGUCUUUAAUUUGCAAUUAACAAAAACAGGUUUUGCUUGGAGAAGGCUCCAGUAAGUCCUCGUUGUGGCCUUCCAAGACUUGAAGGGAACGUAUAAUCAGGAGGGGGAAUGGCUGUUUACGAGGGUGGACAGUGAUAGAACAAGUGGGAAUGGUUUUAAACUGAGACAGGGGAGUUUAGGUUAGAUAUUAGGAGGAAGUUUUUCAAACACAGGGUGAUGACACACUGGAACAGGUUGCCCAAGGAGGUUGUGGAUGCCCCAUCCAUGAAGGCAUUCAAGACCAGGCUGGAUGUGGCUCCGGGCAGCCUGGUCUGGUGGUUGAUGACCCUGCAUACAGCAGGGGGUUGAAACUAGAUGGUCUUUGAUGUCCUUUUCAACUCAGGCCAUUCUAUGAUUCUGUGAUUCUAAAUUAGCUUUUGAAGUUGGAGUACUUGCUUGAAAACUUUAUUUAUUUACAUUACAAAUAUGGACUGAUAUCAUAGUUUUUGUCACUUGUUUGGAUUUUUCCUGAGUGCAAUGUGCAUCAAACCAGAUGGUGGGGAGUGACAGCACCCUCAAACUCUGGUGUUGGUGUGAGAUUAUGAUACAGUAGUGGCAAUUUUGCUAGUCAUAUUAACCAAUGUCUGUGUAUUACAGUAGGGUACAUUUAAUUUGGCCAUUGAUUCAGUGGUGAGGUACUGUCCUUUAGAAGUAGCAUGUUGCUUAAGUAAGCCAUAAUACUUUCUGACAGUCAGCAAGUUCUUGGUUCAAUCUUAAAGAUUUACCCAUGCAGAACUUGGGAAAGUCAGUAAGAGAAACUGAGUUUUUCUCCACUAGGAUAACAGAGGAAUACCUAGGGGGCAAUGCAGAACAAAUCCCUCUAAUUCAGCAUCUAUUCUCUAAGUCACUGUGAUGCCAUUCUUUAACAAACAAAACUGGUUUGUUAAGAUGCAGUCAUGUCAGAACUGGAAGUACAAAAGUGCAUUUAUUAAAAAUGAAUUCCGUAUCCUCUUCCCUCUUGUGUAUCUUGUCACUGACAUGACUUCACAUAUUGCAAAUCUAUUAAGCUUUUAAAACAUGAAACUAGAGCUCAUUAAGCAAAAUGUCAACUGGUGUAUAGCAAACUCUUUCAGAACUAAGACUGAUAAUGUUUGUCUCCGGAGUCUUUUGUCUUCUAGGUCAUCAGCAAGUCAUCCAGCUUUCUGGAAAUAAAGUUUGUGGUUUCUCUGAUCGGAGUCUGACUGUCCUUUGGGGUGAGGUAGUAGGUUGUAUAGUUUUAGGGUUAUGCCCUGCCUGUCAGAUAACUAUACAAUCUACUGUCUUUCCUGAAGUGGCUGUGAUAUCAUCGCUGGAUAUGUCUUCAAAAUGCAAAGCAAAUGUAUUUCAACUGUAACAUUCUCUGGCUCUGUCUAUACGUUGGUUUUGGUUCUUACGAAAGAAAUGUCCUUAAAGUGUUUGAAUUCCUCUAUCGUUUGGAUUGGAAAGCAGUUUCCUUUUUUUCAUCUUCUCAGAGAAAGUGGGGUGUCAGAGGGCACAGAUUUAUCUUAGUCUACAAGGUUUGUUUAUGCUCAAUUUUCUCCAUCUACCAGUGUGCUCACAGGAGUGGCCAUUUGGAAAAAGGUGAUCCAUUACUUCAUUUCUUUGUGGCAUUUGUAUUUAUAUUCCACCUUUUUUAAGUGCCACUUUUUCAACAGUUAUGUAAAUGCAUCUAGCAUAAUUUGAGAACAAGUGAUGACUUGGAUAAUAAUACAAAGAAGAUGUCUCAUUUUCUGCUCUUGAACCAGUAAAUGCUUGACCCCUAAGGGAAGAGAUUUUUUAAAAUCAAUUUUUGAAUUGUGAUUUGACCCAUGUUUUAUUACAUUGUACAAAUUUGGGAAGGAGAGUGCUUUCCACUGCAGUUCUUCUGUCUAUAGAGUCACCCCACCAAUUCUGAUGGACUUCCAGGAAGAAAUCUGAGGAAGGGCUGACAGGACAUAAUUAUGCUCUUUUUGAGGCUAAGAAAUGUGGGCUAGAAAGUGUUUAGGGGAUCUUACUUAUGGUAGGUGAAAUGCUAGUUUGCUUCAGAAGAUCCGCCUGGUGCUCUAACAGGAUGAGGUAGUAGGUUGUGUGGUUUCAGGGUAGUGAUUUUGCCCCAAUCAGGAGAUAACUAUACAACCUACUGCCUUCCCUGAUAGGCAGCAUAACAUCAGUAUCUUAAUUCACAGAAAAACCAGAGGCUAAAAUAAACUUCUGUGACCAACAAAGUAAGUCUACAUACAAUUGUUGUUACCCAGUCCCUAAUACAUCUAACUUCAGUGUCUGGCAUUAUUUUUAAUAACUGCCUACAAAAUAAUUAUCUCUUUUAAGGUCUCUAUGGGAAAAACAGAAUUAAAAAAGUUCUGCUAUUCAAGA